UUUCAGAAGUGGCUUGCCAUUGCUUUCUUCCUAGGGCUGAGAGAAAGUGACUGGCCCAAGGUCACCCAGCUGACUUUGUGUCCAAGGCAGGACUAGAACUCACAGUCUCCCAGUUUCCAGCCUAGUAGUUUUAGGCACUACACUAAACGGACUCAGAAGAAGUUGAACAUGCUGACUAUUCUCAUCCUCGCCUGGAUUCCUCUUAAACUAUAACUUUUCAUGCUUUCUGGGGAAAGAAGUGGUUUGAAGAGUAAGUCUACAGGGAAAUCUCAAAGGUCUUUUUUUUUUCAAAAGGAACAGGAGUGUUUUUCCCUUGAGGAAGAUGUUCCAAUCCUUCCACUGCCCCCACCAUCCUGCCAGACCCGAUGAAACUUCUUGGAUGAGAAGCCAAAUGUCUUCUUCUACCUCGAGGAAAAAGCAGUCCAGCUUGCCUUUUGAAAAAACACGUUUGGGAAAACUAGGAUCUGGGUGACUGAAAAUCUCCACAGACGUCUGCAGUGAAAAUAAACAAGAGCUGGCCAGAUAAAGAGCCUCGUGAAUCUAUCUGUGAUUUGUGAGAUUCCUGAACUUUUAACAGCUCUGUGAAAAUGGAGCAAGCUUGGCAACAAUACAGCUGGAGGCCCUUCCCGAAAAGCUCUCGCUGUGGGUGAAAGAAGAGAACCGCGGCUUCAGAGACAAUCCAGAGCUGGAAAAGAAAAGGAACGCCCUUGUACAUGAUCUGAAGGCCUUGGGCAGUGGCUCAGAUUGAGCCAAGGUGUCAGAAAUGUCCCACCUCUGUCAUGCUGAUCUGUAGACUGCUGAAUAGACAAGCGACUGGAAUUAGAACAUAAGAAGCUUGGGGGAAGAGCCUGUGGGCCACAGGGAGCGAAGAGAAUGGUGGAUGAUCUAGAAGGAAUGGCAGAACCUGGAGGGGGAGUCAAAAGAGCCAUCAACCCGGAGUCACUGCAUUGCCACAAGUGGACUAAAUCCAACCCCUCUUGAAUUCUGUGUACCCUUCUCUCCUAGCAGAUGCUAACCAUUCGUUGAGAAGAUUCCUGUGUAUUGUCACGAGUAGCAGUAAAUCAAUUUAACUGCA